rnacentral:lncRNA from 10 species
CUGCAUUAGACUACUGUUUAAGUGUCAUGAUAAUGGUAUGCACAGAGGGCUGUGAGUGUUUAUAGGAGAAAGCAAGUCCUAGAUUUUGUGUGUGUGUGUAUGUGUAUGUGUGUGUGCAGUCAUUUCAGGAAGGUAAUUCUGGCAUCAGUGUGAGGAAUAAAGACAAAACAGAGACCAGUUGGGAAGCUGGUAGAGAAAUGGGAGAAACAUUAGAGAUUGAACUGAAGCUGUGUCAGUGAAGAGGGAGUGGAUGUGAAAGAUUCAGGACACACCAAGAAGGUAAAACAGGCUGGAAUUAUUUGUUGAGCUAUUGAUUAUGGGGAUUAGUGGGGAAUUAGAAGUCAGGAACAAUUGUGAGGUUUCUGGUUUGAGUGACUGUUUCCUGGCAUCAUUGCUGAAAUUGGAAACAGGCUGAGUAUCAGAUUUAAAGGAAAAGUUGAGUUUAGUUUUGCACAUUUACAGUACUGUACAUUGAUAUAGACAGAAAUGGAUGUGAUCACCCUAAAUGAGAGUGUAGACAGGCAUUGAUCUGGUAGCUAACAAUGUUUUAGAGGUUCAUGGAAAAAGGGAAAGGUUAUUAGGUUGAAAAAGAGAAAUAUGAGAAAAAUCAAGAGAAAAUGUCGUAAGACAUGGUGAGAGAGAGUUUCAAGGAGGAGGAAAUGGUCAACNNNNNNNNNNNNNNNNNNNNNNNNNAUGAGCCUUAUAUCCCCUUGUGUGUGCUGUGCGUUUUAAUGAUAGUUUGGCGUGCAGGGGCAGAGGCCUACAGCUUUAAAAAGUGGAUGUGCUUUAUCAUUUUAACUCAAGAUGACGACUCAUUUUUCCCCUUUGUCUUUGCUACAGCAGUGUCUUCCUCUCAAGUCACCCACUCAUUCCUCCAGGGGUCAUUGGAGCGUUAUUAUUUUAAGUCUAGUUCCCAGGUAUGA